rnacentral:rRNA from 1 species
UACAGAGGGGGCAAGCGUUAUUCGGAAUUAUUGGGCGUAAAGGGCGCGUAGGCGGCCUGUUAAGUCGAACGUGAAAUCCCCGGGCUCAACCCGGGAACUGCGUCCGAUACUGGCAGGCUUGAAUUCGGGAGAGGGAUGUGGAAUUCCAGGUGUAGCGGUGAAAUGCGUAGAUAUCUGGAGGAACACCGGUGGCGAAGGCGGCAUCCUGGACCGAUAUUGACGCUGAUGCGCGAAAGCCAGGGGAGCAAACGGG